AGGGAAUCUUCCGCAAUGGACGCAAGUCUGACGGAGCAACGCCGCGUGAGCGAUGAAGGUCUUCGGAUCGUAAAGCUCUGUUGUAAGGGAAGAACAAGUACCAUUCGAAUAGGGUGGUACCUUGACGGUACCUUACCAGAAAGCCACGGCUAACUACGUGCCAGCAGCCGCGGUAAUACGUAGGUGGCAAGCGUUGUCCGGAAUUAUUGGGCGUAAAGCGCGCGCAGGCGGUCUUUUAAGUCUGAUGUGAAAGCCCCCGGCUCAACCGGGGAGGGUCAUUGGAAACUGGGAGACUUGAGUGCAGAAGAGAAGAGUGGAAUUCCACGUGUAGCGGUGAAAUGCGUAGAGAUGUGGAGGAACACCAGUGGCGAAGGCGACUCUUUGGUCUGUAACUGACGCUGAGGCGCGAAAGCGUGGGGAGCAAAC
rnacentral:rRNA from 1 species